UGGAAAUGAUGAAAUAGAGAUAAUUGGGUGUUGAAUGUUGUAUGAUUGGAAAUUUUUAGUAUGUAAAGUAAUUAAUCUAAGUUUAAUGUUUUGUAGAUACUUAAUAGAGAGUAUGUGUGCAUGUGUGUGUGCUCCUGGAGGCUAUGGAAAGGGGGCACUGACUAGUGAUGCUGAUAUUGGAGUGCAUCUGAGGCUGUUGUAGAAUACAUGGGUUGUUGAUUACAACAUUGCCGAUGAUUAAAACCCAAGAACAGCUCACCUAAGUAGUCUAGCACCCUAAAAUCUCUAACAGGGUCGUUAAACAUGGUCCUGUGAUCUGAUCCAG